AUCAGGUCGAUCCCCAGGCCGCCUUAUCGGAAAAAUAGUUUCCACCUACAAGUAUUAACCUAGGAAACGGUCUACAUAUGUUCCAUUUAUCAAACAAAUCGGAUUUAUCUGAAAGAUCUUUCCCAGGUCAACUUUUAUAAUCUACACAAAGGAUAAAUCUCAAGCCUACUUACAAAUGCAAAUCUAAACGAGUUAUACUUUUCUGCCAAGCAACACAGACUACUGCCUUUCUACUUUGGCUACUUGCUUCUAUAUACAUAAAAAUAACAGAUAACGAUACAACACUGAGACUAUUGAAAUAUAUGCAGGUGACUCAAGAUUUAAUGAAAACUAUCCCGCCAAUGAAAUGAGUUUUCUAGAUUGAGAUCGGCGUUGCCAUGAAAACUCUAAAACACAUAAGAAGCAAGUCUUCAAGACAUAGAGUCCUUGUAGGGCUGAUGAAUUUCCCACGCAAGCUACAAACAACAAACAGGCAACCAUUUCAACCUAACCUAACCCAUUACGAAACUGUUAUCUGCCUCUCAAGUUUUUCUAUGAUUCAUGAGAGGCUGUUACUUUCAUGUACUAAACGAAUCACGAAGCGAGAAGAUGACUGCCGAGCGCCAAGUACUUCUUCUAUAGAUAAAUUAAGGGCUACAUACUGGGGAUAAACAACUUUAUCUCAUGCAUUGGUAUGCAGGAGUAAUGCUUGAUGAUGAGCUAUUGGCUUUGAAAGAGUUAUUUAAAGGAAAACUAAGGCAAAGCAAAAGCCAAGACAAAAUAAAAUCCAAAUUCAUCCGCUUUCUUCAAAUAUCGUAUUAGAGAAGAAAAAGAGAACAGUCACUUCACAAAGUCAUCACUUGAGGUGUUUAAGAAAUGAAAGCUUGGUCAUUAAAAAGACUAAUUUCUGGGUUAUUACUAUUCCCAACAUCCAUCUGGUCGGAUACAACGAGGCAACUGAGUACUUCGUUGAGUACUCCUGCCUGAUUCUAAGUAAAUAAACAAACUUGAGUGAUGUUUUGGCAUGCGGUGAAUAUUUUUAAGAUAAUCGCAAACGA